rnacentral:tRNA from 1 species
UCCCUGGUGGUCUAGUGGUUACGACUCAGAGCUUUCACUUCUGUGGCCCGGGUUCAAUCCCUGGUCUGGGAA